AGAGUUUGAUCAUGGCUCAGAACGUACGCUGGCGGCACGCCUAACACAUGCAAGUCGAACGAAGUAGCAAUACUUAGUGGCAGACGGGUGAGUAACAUGUAGGUAUCUGCCCUUUGGCCUGGAAUAACACGAGGAAACUUGUGCUAAUACCGGAUAAGUCUUUACGGAGAAAGCUUUAUGCACCAUUGGAUGAGCCUGCACUUGAUUAGUUUGUUGGUGGGGUAAUGGCCUACCAAGACUGUGAUCAAUAGCUGAUUUGAGAGGAUGAUCAGCCACAUUGGGACUGAGACACGGCCCAAACUCCUACGGGAGGCAGCAGUGGGGAAUCUUGCACAAUGGAGGAAACUCUGAUGCAGCGAUGCCGCGUGAGUGAAGAAGGCCCUUGGGUUGUAAAGCUCUUUCGUCGGGGAAGAAAAUGACUGUACCCGAAUAAGAAGGUCCGGCUAACUUCGUGCCAGCAGCCGCGGUAAUACGAAGGGACCUAGCGUAGUUCGGAAUUACUGGGCUUAAAGAGUUCGUAGGUGGUUGAAAAAGUUAGUGGUGAAAUCCCAGAGCUUAACUCUGGAACUGCCAUUAAAACUUUUCAGCUAGAGUAUGAUAGAGGAAAGCAGAAUUUCUAGUGUAGAGGUGAAAUUCGUAGAUAUUAGAAAGAAUACCAAUUGCGAAGGCAGCUUUCUGGAUCAUUACUGACACUGAGGAACGAAAGCAUGGGUAGCGAAGAGGAUUAGAUACCCUCGUAGUCCAUGCCGUAAACGA
rnacentral:rRNA from 1 species